UAACGCGUGGGUAACCUGCCUCAUACAGGGGGAUAACAGUUAGAAAUGACUGCUAAUACCGCAUAAGCGCACAGUACCACAUGGUACGGUGUGAAAAACUCCGGUGGUAUGAGAUGGACCCGCGUCUGAUUAGCUAGUUGGUGAGGUAACGGCUCACCAAGGCGACGAUCAGUAGCCGACCUGAGAGGGUGAUCGGCCACAUUGGGACUGAGACACGGCCCAG
rnacentral:rRNA from 1 species